rnacentral:lncRNA from 1 species
UUAAAUCUUCAGAUUGUGAUUUUUGCAAGUAUUAUCCAGGCUGCAGUACUCUGUUAUAAUUUUCAAGAUGGAUUAUAAUUAAUAUCUGUCGACAUAAUGACUCUAAAAAACACUAGCAUGACACCUUUUAGCCCUUUAAAUGAGAAGAGGACAUGGUCAUUGGUCCCUUUAAAAAACACUAGCAUGACGCCUUUUAGCCCUUUAAACUUAUCCAGUUACAGAUAAUUGUUUUGGUGUGUGUAGGCUCAUAUCAACUAAAAGUGGUCUUGAGUAUGACGAAUCUAACCACAUGCUUAGGAACUAUUUGAAAGCACCAUUAGCAUUGCACUCGAGAUGUAAUUCCAAAAGACCAAAUACUUUAGGGGCUUUUUGACAAACACAACGGAUACAAACUUAGGAGUAUAACAACAACACGGUACGCACUAAACUACAGCAAAAUGGGGAAACUAAACACAACACUAUCUCAAACCUAAUAGUGGAAAAGUGAUCAAGCCACACAGUUGUCAUGGUGGCUUUGGAGGACACUGUGGACCCAUAUCAGCAGAUGGGGGAGAGACCCUGGGAGCGUAAGUUCAGGCGGGGGGACACCAAACCAUACUAUUGUGAAGCUGCAAGGAGGUGACGGU